rnacentral:rRNA from 1 species
UUAUCGGAAUGAGAACAAUUCAAAUCCUUUAACGAGGAUCUAGCGGAGGGCAAGUCUGGUGCCAGCAGCCGCGGUAAUUCCAGCUCCGCAGGUGUAUAUCUAUGCUGCUGCGGUUAAAAAGCUCGUAGUUGGAUCUGCGUGCUCGGAACUGGUUGGCUCACUGAGUUCAAACUGGUCUCCGGCGCUUUAUUGGCUGGUUUUCCCUUGAUGCUCUUAACCGGGUGUCUUGGGUGGCUAGCACGUUUACUUUGAAAAAAUUAGAGUGCUCAAUACAGGCGUAAAGCCUUGAAUAGUGGUGCAUGGAAUAAUAGAAUAGGACCUCGGCUCUAUUUUGUUGGUUUUCGGAACGCGAGGUAAUGAUUAAGAGGGACAGACGGGGGCAUUCGUAUUGCGACGUUAGAGGUGAAAUUCUUGGAUCGUCGCAGGACGGACGACUGCGAAAGCAUUUGCCAAGAAUGUUUUCAUUAAUCAAGAACGAAAGUUAGAGGUUCGAAGGCGAUCAGAUACCGCCCUAGUUCUAACCGUAAACGAUGCCAACUAGCGAUUCGCAGGCGUUAAACAACGACCUUGCGGGCAGCUUCCCGGAAACGAAAGUGUUCGGGUUCCGGGGGAAGUAUGGUUGCAAAGCUGAAACUUAAAGGAAUUGACGGAAGGGCACCACCAGGAGUGGAGCCUGCGGCUUAAUUUGACCCAACACGGGAAAACUCACCCGGCCCGGACACCGUACGGAUUGACAGAUUGAGAGCUCUUUCUUGAUUCGGUGGGUGGUGGUGCAUGGCCGUUCUUAGUUGGUGGAGCGAUUUGUCUGGUUUAUUCCGAUAACGAACGAGACUCUGGCCUACUAAAUAGUGGGCGGAUUCUUUCUGUCCGCAACACUUCUUAGAGGGACAAGCGGUGUUCAGCCGCACGAGAUUGAGCAAUAACAGGUCUGUGAUGCCCUUGGAUGUCCGGGGCUGCACGCGCGCUACACUGAAGGAAUCAGCGUGCUUUCUGACCUUGCCCGAAAGGGCUGGGUAACCCGAUGAAAAUCCUUCGUGAUUGGGAUAGGGACUUGCAAUUAUUUCCCUUGAACGAGGAAUUCCCAGUAAGUGUGGGUCAUAAGCUCGCGUUGAUUACGUCCCUGCCCUUUGUACACACCGCCCGUCGCUGCCCGGAACUGAGCCGUUUCGAGAAGAACAGGGACCGUCGUUGGAGGGCCUUAACGGGCUUUUCUCUGAUAGAAACUGUU